UACAGAGGUUGCAAGCGUUAAUCGGAUUUACUGGGCGUAAAGCGUGUGCAGGUGGCUGUACAAGUCGGUUGUGAAAUCCCUGGGCUCAACCCGGGAACUGCUUCCGAGACUGUACGGCUAGAGAUCGGUAGAGGGCGGUGGAAUUUCCGGUGUAGCGGUGAAAUGCGUAGAUAUCGAGAGGAACACCAGAGGUGAAGACGGGUUGCUGGGCUGACACUGACGCUGAGGCGCGAAAGCCAGGGGAGCAAACGGG
rnacentral:rRNA from 1 species